GCAGAAUUACUGAUCCAAUAGGUAUGGAUGGUCUCAAAAAUUCUCAUUUCUAGAAAGUUCUCACAUGAUGCUGAUGCUUCUGGCCCAGGGACCACACUUUGAGAACCACUAUACUAGUGAAAGCUAGAAGAUCAGCCUGCCCUCGAAGGGAUAUUUGUUCCAAGACAAUGAUAAAAUGCCUCAGAAAUAAUACUUUUUGCAAACCAUGAUGGGAGACCCUGUGGACAGCCACAGAAGGACAGUGUGUUCAUCCAGCAUGGAGGUUUUUGAUACAUGAAGCAUCAUUCUUCUUCACCUCCCUAACAGCCCGAGUUAAAGCUGCACCAGAACAUGGGUUCAUCGUUUUGGCUGAAGACAGCCCUCAUGACCUACUUUGCUUCUGAAGCUCUGACCUAGAAUAGACUUAGAAUGGGAUAAGGACAAUGGGCUGGAAGUGAUGGAGCUCAGGGUCAGUUGACCCAUGCAACUAGAGAAAGGACAAGCUCUAAUAUUAUGAAAAGCAUCUGUUUGUUGUGAUUCUAUGUGCCAAGCCUUAUGCUAGACACAGUCUUAGCCUCCCACAACAAGCUUGCAAGGGAGGCAAUUAAUGACCCACGGAUGUGGAGUGGUUUUAAGUAACAUGUUCUAGCUCAGAAGCUAGGAUAAGUUAGCCCCUAGGUCUCUGCCUUUUCCCUCUGUUAUACUGCCUUUCCUAGACUAGAAAUUAAAGCAGAUAUUUCAAUUCAGUUGCUUAAAUUCUCCUGUGUAACCCAGGAAAGCAAAAGGUAUUGCCUGGGAGAAAAAUAUCUAGUUGUAAAAAAAUAAAAAUCCUCAU
rnacentral:lncRNA from 1 species